AUGGGACGUCAAGGGUUUUAUCAUGAUGACCUCGAGCAGCCGCCGACAUCCCUCCCCACAUCUACCCUACCCCUGCUGCCGCUUGCACUGUCCUUGCUCCUCGAGGGAGCUAGGGACACAAUGUUCUCUAGGAUGGGCAUGACCAGAUCCACGAGGAGGCCACAUUCUUCCAUGGGAACCCAACCAAGCACACCACCCUUCGCAACCAUCCAAUCCCAGCCUAACAAAGUCAAGCCCCGCCAUCGAUCCACAAAUCAGGCUCGCCCCAUCCAGGUUCACUGCAAGUCUGUGACGAGUCUGUAA
rnacentral:rRNA from 1 species